GCAAGUCGAGGGGUAACAGAGGUAGCUUGCUAAUUUGCUGACGAGCGGCGGACGGGUGCGUAACGCGUAUAGAAUCUGCCUCAUACUGAGGGAUAGCCUUUGGAAACGAAGAUUAAUACCUCAUAGUAUCAUUUAACGGCAUCGUUUAGUGAUUAAAGGUUACGGUAUGAGAUGACUAUGCGUCCUAUUAGUUAGUUGGUAAGGUAAUGGCUUACCAAGGCGACGAUCCCUAGCUGGUCUGAGAGGAUGAUC
rnacentral:rRNA from 1 species